ensembl:lncRNA
GACGGAAGCUAAACUGUUACAUUUAUACUGUGUUCUAUAUAAAGCUUGUUUUGCCUACUGUAGGAUCAUGUUGGUUUUGGAUUGUUGCUAGCUUUCAGGAUUCUUAAAGUGUUGUAGGUUUACUUUGGUCACUGGAACCUGGACUAGUGUAGGUCUGUGUGAACAGAAAAGGAUCUGUCUGUAUGGUGUGACUGUGCUUCCAUUGACCUUGUUCUGGUCAAUAAGACUUGUGUCCCUCUCAACCGUACUGUUCUGGGUUUCACUGGAAAUAACCGAUCCCUUUACACACACUUGACCCUUUCUGAUCAGCCACACUGGCAGAAUCACACGUACGCACACACUCACAAACAAACAAACAAACAAAGCAUCAUCAAUGGAUGGAAAGAAGCAGAUCAGAGAGAGAGGGAGAGUGGAACAUAUCAGCUUACCACUGACCAUGUAAACUGAGUCUAACUGGUUUAGGGCUGUUGCCAUUACACACAUGUUUUCAUGGGUUUGCACGACAUCGUAUGUCUUGGUCAAGUUAUGAUCACACCUGAUCUGUUGUGUUGUGUGUCAGCAAAUGUCAGAGCAGUCGUGUGUGUGUGUGUGUGUGUGUGUGUGUGUGUGUGUGUGUGUACCAAGCCACUAGACUGACCAUGCUCUUAUCAGCACGUGGCACAGUGAAGACGCCAAGCCACUAGACUGACCAUGCUCUUAUCAGCACGUGGCACAGUGAAGACGCCAAGCCACUAGACUGACCAUGCUCUUAUCAGCACGUGGCACAAGGAAGACGCCAAGCCACUAGACUGACCAUGCUCUUAUCAGCACGUGGCACAGUGAAGACGCCAAGCCACUCGACUGACCAUGCUCUUAUCAGCACGUGGCACAGUGAAGACGCACUAGAAGCCACUCGACUGACCAUGCUCUUAUCAGCACGUGGCACAGUGAAGACGCCAAGCCACUAGACUGACCAUGCUCUUAUCAGCACGUGGCACAGUGAAGACGCCAAGCCACUAGACUGACCAUGCUCUUAUCAGCACGUGGCACAGUGAAUACGCCAAGCCACUAGACUGACCAUGCUCUUAUCAGCACGUGGCACAGUGAAGACGCCAAGCCACUAGACUGACCAUGCUCUUAUCAGCACGUGGCACAGUGAAGACGCCAUACUCCCCUGAACAUGCUCUUAUCAGCACGUGGCACAGUAAAGACGCCAUACUCCCCUGAACGACCACUACAUUGGUCCCUCCAUGUCUACAGGUUCUCUUCCUUCAUUCAAAACAUGUUGUAUCACUAAAUUGACCCCAACCCUGCUGUGUAGCUCUAUAGUGCUUUAUAGUUUGCUUGAGUAAUUCAUGGAUUGAUAGAUUGAUUGACAACCCUAGUUCUGUAGUGCUGUCCCCUCCUCUCUCUCUCUCAAUCCUCCAUCUCUCUCUUUAUAACCCCCCUUAUCCCCUCUGUGUGCAAUGUCCCGGGUCCCUCUCAGUUCAUUCAUGCGGAUCCAGGAAGUGCAUUCCUCGCCACAUCCCCAGGCUAUGCUCCAUCACACCACCCAUUCCUGCCACCCUAUCACACACAGCACUGCCCAGUAGUUUCUAGAUGGCCACGCUAGAAAGGACAGAAGUGACAAUAUCAUCAGAACUGAUGAGCAUGUGCAUAAAUGAUACGUGUCAUUGACUAGAUAAAAGACAGAAGUUUGGCCCAUGUCAUUGACUAGAUAAUAUACUGAGAGGUUUGGCCCAUGUCAUUGACUAGAUAAUAUACUGAGAGGUUUGGCCCUUGUCAUUGACUAGAUAAUAUACUGAGAGGUUUGGCCCAUGUCAUUGACUAGAUAAAAUACAGAAGUUUGGCCCAUGUCAUUGACUAGAUAAAAGACAGAAGUUUGGCCCAUGUUAUUGACUAGAUAAAAUACUGAGAGGUUUGGCCCAUGUCAUUGACUAGAUAAAAUACUGAGAAGUUUGGCCCAUGUCAUUGACUAGAUAAAAGACAGAAGUUUGGCCCAUGUUAUUGACUAGAUAAAAUACUGAGAAGUUUGGCCCAUGUUAUUGACUAGAUAAAAUUGUCACACCCUGGUCUAAGUAUUUUGUGUUUUUCUUCAUGUAUUGGGUCAGGCCAGGGUGUGGCAUGGGGUUUUUGUAUUGUGGUGUGUUUUGUCUUGGGGUUUUGGUGUGUAUGUAUUGGGAUUGCAGCUAGUGGGGUUAUCUAGCAAAGUCUAUGGCUGUCUGGAGUGGUUCUCAAUCAGAGGCAGGUGUUUUAUCGUUGUCUCUGAUUGGGAACCAUAUUUAGGCAGCCAUAUUCUUUGAGUUUGUCGUGGGUGAUUGUCCUUAGUGUCCUUGUUCCUGUCUGUGUUAGGUUACACAAUUAUAGGCUGUUUCGGUUUUCGUUACGUUUAUUGUUUUUGUAGUGUUUGUUAUUGAUUCGUGUUUUACGUUCGUUAUUAAACAUGGAUCGCAAUCUACACGCUGCAUUUUGGUCCGAUCCUUGUUCUACCUCUUCGUCAGAGGAGGAGAUAGAAGAGAGCCGUAACAGAAUCACCCACCACAAACGGACCAAGCAGCGUGUAAACAGGCAGGAGCCACAGGAGAGGCAACAGAGGCAGCAGCAGCAGCAGCAGCAGCAGUGGGAGAGGCUGCACUAUUUGGAGGAAUUGGAAGGAAGAGGACCCUGGGCUCAGCCAGGAGAAUAUCGCCGCCCCAAAGAAGAACUGGAGGCGGCGAAAGCGGCGAGGCGCUGGUAUGAGGAGGCAGUGCGGCGUCGUGGAUGGAAGCCCGAGAGUCAGCCCCAAAAAUGUAUUGGGGGGGGCUCACAGGAAGUAGGGCGAAGCCAGGUAGGCGACCUGCGUCAACUUCCUGUGGUUACCGGGGGGCUAGAGAGACCGGGCAGGCACCGUGUUAUGCUGUGGAGCGCACGGUGUCUCCAGUGCGGGUGCACAGCCCGGUGCGGUACAUUCCAGCUCCGCGUAUCGGCCGGGCUAGAGUGGGCAUCGAGCCAAGUGACAUGGCACCAGCCUUGCGCACGGUGUCCCAGGUUCGCCUGCAUAGCCCAGUGCGGGCUAUUCCACCUUGCCGCACUGGCAGGGCGACCGGGACCAUUCAACCGGGUAAGGUUGGGCAGGCUCGGUGCUCAAGAGCUCCAGUGCGCCUGCACGGCCCGGUCUAUCCGUCACCACCUCCACGCACCAGCCCUCCGGUGGCAGUCCCCCGCACCAGGCUGUCUCUCCGGUCCAUCCUUACGGGGGCUCCCUCCUCUCCAGCACUGCCGGAGCCUUCCUCCUCUCCAGCGCUGCUGGAGUCUCCCGCCUGUUCAGCGCAGCCAGAGCUGCCAGCCUGCAUGGAGCAGCCAGAGCUGUCAGUCUGCAUGAAGCAGCCAGAGCUGUCAGUCUGCAUGAAGCAGCCAGAGCUGUCAGCCUGCAUGGAGCAGCCAGAGCUGUCGGUCUGCAUGGAGCAGCCAGAGCUGUCGGUCUGCAUGGAGCAGCCAGAGCUGUCAGUCUGCAUGGAGCAGCCAGAGAUGUCAGUCUGCAUGAAGCAGCCAGAGAUGCCAGUCUGCACGGAGCUGCCAGUCUGCAAGGAGCUGCCAGUCUGCAAGGAGCUGCCAGUCUGCAAGGAGCUGCCAGUCUGCAAGGAGCUGCCAGUCUGCAAGGAGCUGUCAGUCUGCAAGGAGCUGUCAGUCUGUAAGGAGCUGUCAGUCUGUAAGGAGCUGCCAGUCUGCAAGGAGCUGCCAGUCUGCACGGAGCCGCCAGAGCUGCCAGUCUGUAAGAAGCCGCCAGAGCUGUCAGCCUACAUGGAGCAGCCAGAGCCGCCAGUCAGCGUGGAGCAGCCAGAGCCGCCAGUCAGCUUGGAGCAGCCAGAUCUUUCAGUCUGCCAGGAUCCGCCAGUCGGCCAGACUCUUCCAGAUCCGCCAGUCAGCCAGACUCUUCCAGAUCUGCCAGACUCUUCCAGAUCUGCCAGUCAGCCAGACUCUUCCAGAUCUGCCAGUCAGCCAGACUCUUCCAGAUCUGCCAGUCAGCCAGACUCUUCCAGAUCUGCCAGUCAGCCAGACUCUUCCAGAUCCGCCAGUUUACCAGACUCUUCCAGAUCCGCCAGUCAACCAGACUCUUCCAGAUCCGCCAGUCAACCAGACUCUUCCAGAUCUGCCAGUCAGCCAGACUCUUCCAGAUCUGCCAGUCAGCCAGACUCUUCCAGAUCCGCCAGUCAGCCAGACUCUUCCAGAUCCGCCAGUCAGCCAGACUCUUCCAGAUCCGCCAGUCAGCCAGACUCUUCCAGAUCCGCCAGUCAGCCAGACUCUUCCAGAUCCGCCAGUCAGCCAGACUCUUCCAGAUCCGCCAGUCUACCAGACUCUUCCAGAUCCGCCAGUCUACCAGACUCUUCCAGAUCCGCCAGUCAACCAGAUCCGCCAGUCAACCAGACUCUUCCAGAUCCGCCAGUCAACCAGACUCUUCCAGAUCCGCCAGUCAGCCAGACUCUUCCAGAUCCGCCAGUCAGCCAGACUCUUCCAGAUCCGCCAGUCAGCCAGACUCUUCCAGAUCCGCCAGUCAGCCGGGAUCUGCCAGAUCUGCCAGUCGGCCGGGAUCCGCCAGUCGGCCAGGAUCCGCCAGUCGGCCAGGAUCCGCCAGUCGGCCAGGAUCCGCCAGUCGGCCAGGAUCUGCCAGUCAGCCAGGAUCUGCUGAAACCACCAGCCAGCCAGGAUCUGGUAGAUCUACCUACCUGCCUGAGCUUCCUCUCACUCCCGAGCUUCCUCUCACUCCCGAGCUUCCUCUCACUCCCGAGCUUCCUCUCACUCCCGAGCUUCCUCUCACUCCCGAGCUUUCUCUCACUCCCGAGCUUUCUCUCACUCCCGAGCUUUCUCUCACUCCCGAGCUUCCCCUCAGUCCAGUGGGUUUCUGGGUGAGGACUACUAGGCCAUGGUCGGCGGCGAGGGUGGACUAUCCAGGGACGGGAGGAGAGGGGACUAAGACAUUGACUGAGUGGGUUCCACGUCCCGCGCCGGAGCCGCCACCAUGGACAGACGCCCACCCGGACCCUCCUUAUUGUUUUGAGGUGCGUUCGGGAGUCCGCACCUUAGGGGGGUUCUGUCACGCCCUGGUCUAAGUAUUUUGUGUUUUUCUUCAUGUAUUGGGUCAGGCCAGGGUGUGGCAUGGGGUUUUUGUAUUGUGGUGUGUUUUGUCUUGGGGUUUUGGUGUGUAUGUAUUGGGAUUGUAGCUAGUGGGGUUAUCUAGCAAAGUCUAUGGCUGUCUGGAGUGGUUCUCAAUCAGAGGCAGGUGUUUUAUCGUUGUCUCUGAUUGGGAACCAUAUUUAGGCAGCCAUAUUCUUUGAGUUUGUCGUGGGUGAUUGUCCUUAGUGUCCUUGUUCCUGUCUAUGUGUUAGGUUACACAAGUAUAGGCUGUUUCGGUUUUCGUUACGUUUAUUGUUUUUGUAGUGUUUGUUAUUGAUUCGUGUUUUACGUUCGUUAUUAAACAUGGAUCGCAAUCUACACGCUACAUUUUGGUCCGACUCUCCUUCACACCUAGAAAACCGUAACAAAAAUACUGAGAAGUUUGGCCCAUGUUAUUGACUAGAUAAAAUACUGAGAAGUUUGGCCCAUGUUAUUGACUAGAUAAAAUACUGAGAAGUUUGGCCCAUGUCAUUGACUAGAUAAAAUACUGAGAAGUUUGGCCCAUGUCAUUGACUAGAUAAAAUACUGAGAAGUUUGGCCCUUGUCAUUGACGUCACCGUCCUGACCUUUAUUUUCUAUGGUAGAGUAGGUCAGUGCAUGACUAGGGGUUUAGUCUAGUUUAUAUUUUCUUUGUGGUGUUCUAGUUUGGUUUUCUAUGUUGGUGUUUUGGUAUGAUUCCCAAUUAGAGGCAGCUGGCUAUUGUUGUCUCUAAUUGGAGAUCAUACUUAAGUAGCAUUUUCCCACCUGUGUGUUAUGGGAUAUUGUUUGGAGUUAGUGCACGUAGCACCUCUGUAGUCACGCUUUGUUUGUUUAUUGUUUUAAGUUUCACUAAUAAUAAAGUAUGUGGAACUCAUAUCGCGCUGGGUCUUGGUCCGACCAUUAUUACGACGAACGUGACAAUUGACUAGAUAAAAUAUUGAAGUUUGGCACGUCAUUGACUAAAUAAAAGACAUUCAACGCCUGUCUCUUGCUCACUCAACACUGCUACUCCUACGUCAGUCUUGUCAUGGGACUCAGUUGCACGGAACACCAUAGAACGCCAUCACCAUGGCAACACUCAAAGCCAGACAAAACACUCUGGGACCACACAAUCCCAAAACACGAGAGAGAGAGAGAGAGAGAGAGAGAGACAAAAGGAAAGCUUUGACUAUGUACAGACUCAGUGAGCAUAGCCUUGACAUUGAGAAAGGUCGCCGUAGGCAGACGUGGCUCUCAAGACAAGACACACUGUGCACACUGCCCACAAAAUGAGGUGGAAACGGAGCUGCAUUUCCUAACCUCCUGCCAAACAUAUGACCAUAUUAGAGACACAUAUAUCCCUCAGAUUACACAGAUCCACAAAGAAAUUAACAAAACAAACCUGAUUUUGAUAAACUCCCAUAUCUUCUGGGUGAAAUACCACAACAGCGAGAUUUGUAACCUGUUGCCACAAGAAAAGGGAAACCAGUGAAGAACAAACACCAUUGUAAAUACAACCCAUAUUUAUGUUUAUUAAUUUUCCCUUUUGUACUUUAACCAUUUGCACAUCGUUACAACACUGUAUAUACAUAA